GAUGAACGCUGGCGGCGUGCCUAAUACAUGCAAGUCGAGCGAACAGACGAGGAGCUUGCCUCACUGAUGUUAGCGGCGGAAGGGUGAGUAACACGUGGAUCCCCUCCCUAUAAGACUGGGAUAACUUCGGGAAACCGGAGCUAAUACCGGAUAAUAUAUUGAACCGCAUGGUUCAAUAGUGAAAGACGGUUUUGCUGUCACUUAUAGAUGGAUCGGCGCCGCAUUAGCUAGUUGGUAAGGUAACGGCUUACCAAGGCAACGAUGAGUAGCCGAACUGAGAGGAUGAUCGGCCACACUGGAACUGAGACACGGCCCAGACUCCUACGGGAGGCAGCAGUAGGGAAUCUUCCGCAAUGGGCGAAAGCCUGACGGAGCAACGCCGCGUGAGGGAUGAAGGUCUUCGGAUCGUAAAACUCUUUUAUUAGGGAAGAACAAAUGUGUAAGUAACUAUGCACGUCUUGACGGUACCUAAUCAGAAAGCCACGGCUAACUACGUG
rnacentral:rRNA from 1 species